UACAGGGGGUGCAAACGUUGCUCGGAAUCAUUGGGCGUAAAGAGCGUGUAGGCGGCCAGAAAAGUCCGCUGUGAAAACUCGAGGCUCAACUUCGAGCUGUCGGUGGAAACUUUCUGGCUAGAGUCCGGAAGAGGAGAAUGGAAUUCCUGGUGUAGCGGUGAAAUGCGCAGAUAUCAGGAAGAACACCCGUGGCGAAGGCGGUUCUCUGGGACGGUACUGACGCUGAGACGCGAAAGCGUGGGGAGCGAACAGG
rnacentral:rRNA from 1 species